rnacentral:rRNA from 1 species
UACGUAGGUGGCGAGCGUUGUCCGGAAUUACUGGGUGUAAAGGGCGUGUAGGCGGGAUAUCAAGUCAGAUGUGAAAACCCAGGGCUCAACCCUGGACCUGCAUCUGAAACUGAUGUUCUUGAGUGCUGGAGAGGAAAGCGGAAUUCCUAGUGUAGCGGUGAAAUGCGUAGAUAUUAGGAGGAACACCAGUGGCGAAGGCGGCUUUCUGGACAGUAACUGACGCUGAGGCGCGAAAGCGUGGGGAG